rnacentral:rRNA from 1 species
GACGAACGCUGGCGGCGUGCUUAACACAUGCAAGUCGAACGGAAAGGUCCUGCUUUUGUGGGGUGCUCGAGUGGCGAACGGGUGAGUAACACGUGAGUAACCUGCCCUUGACUUUGGGAUAACUUCAGGAAACUGGGGCUAAUACCGGAUAGGAGCUCCUGCUGCAUGGUGGGGGUUGGAAAGUUUCGGCGGUUGGGGAUGGACUCGCGGCUUAUCAGCUCGUUGGUGGGGUAGUGGCUUACCAAGGCUUUGACGGGUAGCCGGCCUGGGAGGGUGACCGGCCACAUUGGGACUGAGAUACGGCCCAGACUCCUACGGGAGGCAGCAGUGGGGAAUAUUGCACUAUGGGCGGAAGCCUGAUGCAGCAACGCCGCGUGCGGGAUGACGGCCUUCGGGUUGUAAACCGCUUUCGCCUGUGACGAAGCGUGAGUGACGGUAAUGGGUAAAGAAGCACCGGCUAACUACGUG